rnacentral:rRNA from 1 species
GACGUAGGGCGCGAGCGUUGUCCGGAUUAUUGGGCGUAAAGAGCUCGUAGGCGGCUCGUUGCGUCGGCUGUGAAAACCCGCAGCUCAACUGUGGGCUUGCAGCCGAUACGGGCGGGCUGGGAUUCGGUAGGGGAGACUGGAAUUCCUGGUGUAGCGGUGAAAUGCGUAGAUAUCUGGAGGAACACCGGUGGCGAAGGCGGCAUCCUGGACCGGUAUUGACGCUGAGGCGCGAAAGCCAGGGGAGCAAACGGG